AUUGAACGCUGGCGGCAGGCCUAACACAUGCAAGUCGAACGAGUGGCGGACGGGUGAGUAAUGUCUGGGAAACUGCCUGAUGGCGGGGGAUAACUACUGGAAACGGUAGCUAAUACCGCAUACCAUCGGAUGUGCCCAGCUGGGAUUAGCCAGUAGGUGGGGUAACGGCUCACCUCGGCGACGAUCCCUAGAUGGUCUGAGAGGAUGACCAGCCACACUGGAACUGAGACACGGUCCAGACUCAGACGGGAGGCAGCAGUGGGGAAUAUUGCACAAUGGGCGCAAGCCUGAUGCAGCCAUGCCGCGUGUAUGAAGAAGGCCUUCGGGUUGUAAAGUACUUUCAGCGGGGAGGCGUUACCCGCAGAAGAAGCACCGGCUAACUCCGUGCCAGCAGCCGCGGUAAUAC
rnacentral:rRNA from 1 species